GCACAUGGAGAGAGCGUCUAACAUGGCGGCGGCUGCGGGGAGAGGGAAGCGCUUUACUGGAGCUGCAUUGGUAAGCUUGAUGAUUACCAGGAACGAAUGAACAAAGGGGAAAGGCUUAAUCAAGAUCAGCUGGAUGCCGUUUCUAAGUACCAGGAAGUCACAAAUAAUUUGGAGUUUGCAAAAGAAUUACAGAGGAGUUUCAUGGCACUAAGUCAAGAUAUUCAGAAAACAAUAAAGAAGACAGCACGUCGGGAGCAGCUUAUGAGAGAAGAAGCCGAACAGAAACGUUUAAAAACUGUACUUGAGCUACAGUAUGUUUUGGACAAAUUGGGAGAUGAUGAAGUGCGGACUGACCUGAAACAAGGUUUGAAUGGAGUGCCAAUAUUGUCCGAAGAGGAG
rnacentral:sRNA from 1 species